GGUGAGAUGGCCGAGCGGUCUAAGGCGCCAGACUAAGGUUAUGUAAUCAUCUCGAUUACAGCAUCAUCUGGUCCGAAAGGGCGUGGGUUCGAAUCCCACUCUCAUCA